GACACCGAAGGUAGUGAGUUAUCUCAAUUGAUUGUUCACAGUUAGUGACAGAUCAAACUCCUUGUUCUACUCUUUCACCCCUUUCUCACUACUGCACUAGACUAGUCUUUA
ensembl:Y_RNA Y_RNA Y RNA